AUUGAACGCUGGCGGCAUGCCUUACACAUGCAAGUCGAACGGUAACGCGGGGCAACCCGGCGACGAGUGGCGAACGGGUGAGUAAUGUAUCGGAACGUGCCCAGUUGUGGGGGAUAACUGCUCGAAAGAGCAGCUAAUACCGCAUACGACCUGAGGGUGAAAGCGGGGGAUCGCAAGACCUCGCGCAAUUGGAGCGGCCGAUAUCAGAUUAGGUAGUUGGUGGGGUAAAGACCCACCAAGCCAACGAUCUGUAGCUGGUCUGAGAGGACGACCAGCCACACUGGGACUGAGACACGGCCCAGACUCCUACGGGAGGCAGCAGUGGGGAAUUUUGGACAAUGGACGCAAGUCUGAUCCAGCCAUGCCGCGUGCGGGAAGAAGGCCUUCGGGUUGUAAACCGCUUUUGUCAGGGAAGAAAAGGGCGACUCUAAUACAGUUGCCUCAUGACGGUACCUGAAGAAUAAGCACCGGCUAACUACGUGCCAGCCGCCGCGGUAAUAC
rnacentral:rRNA from 1 species